UACGAAGGGGGCUAGCGUUGUUCGGAAUCACUGGGCGUAAAGCGCACGUAGGCGGAUCUUUAAGUCAGGGGUGAAAUCCCGAGGCUCAACCUCGGAACUGCCUUUGAUACUGGAGAUCUCGAGUCCGGGAGAGGUGAGUGGAACUGCGAGUGUAGAGGUGAAAUUCGUAGAUAUUCGCAAGAACACCAGUGGCGAAGGCGGCUCACUGGCCCGGUACUGACGCUGAGGUGCGAAAGCGUGGGGAGCAAACAGG
rnacentral:rRNA from 1 species